CCUGCAAACAGUUUCAGCCAACAGGAGGCACCCGUAUUAGAGCGGUGCGGCGCACGAGAAAGGGGGCGCUUGAGGGGGUACAAGAAGGCGGAGGGUCACGCGCAUUGGCAGUCGCCACCCCAUCGCGCCCCCACUCCUCGCCGCCAGCCAUCCACCGCACACACACACGCACACACACGCACACACACACACGCACACACACGCACACACACACGCACUUAGACUUUGCUCUACACGCACGCGUACAUGCGCACAUUGAGCUGACAGCAUCGCUGUCGAAUCUUGCAUGCUAUCACGGAGUUCGGCCGAUAGAUUUCUUCCUCCCCUCCUCGCACACACACGCACAGGUGUGUCUAUCUUGCUAGCGACACCGCGCUCCUUCAUCGCAUCCACUUUUGCGUGAGGUGCUCUCCUUCCGUUUCGCAUUCGCCUUCAUCGACACCGCUCGAUCCGCUGCUCGCCUAUCCCGUCUUGGACCUGUUUGACGCCAGUACUGUGUUUGUUUGCCGGCGUGCUCGAGAGGAGGGGACCGAGCUCCUGCGGCCCCAAAAUGAGUAGUGCAUCGUGCAGUUCACAUGGCAGCAGCAGCAGCACACGCCACCACAGUCGGCUUGAGGAUGCCCGGUCGCCAUCGCCGGAAGGCCCACGUGUGACGAUUGCAGCAACGGUGAGUCACGCCAGCGCCAGCGCACCGGAUCGCGCCGCGUGCUACGGCGACAUCUUCGUGGUGGAUGUGGCGAGUGGCGACCACUUUCACAUCACGGUUGCCUUAAAAGGUCCCUUCCAUCCCUUGACGUCCCUGACGCACCGUGCACUGCAGCGCACCGUGCGCAACCUGCUCCUGGCCUCACCCAACACCCACACGGGGGACUCGACAGCACAGCCGCCCCCGCUUCUGCUGCUCCUGCUUGAUGGCGUGCCACUCGAUGACAGCGAUGCCGUGACGCUGCCAAAUGGCGCGGUCGUGGAGGUGCACCACGGCUCUGCCGACUCGCUGCCUCGACCCGUGGCGCUGCCACCAGAGCAGGGGAUGCCCCUGCAGCCAACCUCAGCGGUUAGCGCCACGAGCGCACGCCUGUCUGCGCUGGAGGCAGUGAAUAGCAGCCCUGCCGAAGAAGAAAAGCUCCGGAGAACGCAAUCCACCGCGCCGGCGACAGCAGUGCCGUCUCCGUCGAGGCGCCUGCCUCCGCGCGGCGCGGGAGGUGCAUCUUCCAACAUCGGUUUACUGAGCGACGGCGACAACGUCGCUGGCACCCGUGACAGCACCUCGCCGUACGCGUUCACGCGCACCAGUGGAACGGCAACGUCCAGCAAGUCGAGGCCGCGGGGUGCGGUCACGCUGUUGUCCGCGUUUCACGCGAGCGCGCAUGAGGACUACGCCGUGUCGAGGCAGCUGAUACUAUCGUCGUCGCUGCCGAGCAGGCAUGACGGCGCCUCUGCGUCUACACGGUCAUCAGAAGAGGAGACCACGUCGGCCAGCAGGCAGGUGCCGAGCCUGCACACUGUCAACGCCACACAGCCGCCUCUGCACCAGAGGACCAGCACAUACAGCUCCAUCAGCGGACGUCCACGGGCACAUCAGAGCGACGCAGAUGUGAGAGGAGAGACUGCGUCUGCUGCUGGUGCACACACGCCGUCCUCUGCAUCAUCAACGUUGACGCCGCGACCCUCCACUGCCUUUACGUCGCCUGCCUUUAGUCAAGACUCAUCAGCAGUCACCGAGGAGUCCCUUACACACAGGCGGCACGCGCUGCCCAGCUCGUCCCGCGCCUCCGCCGCCGCCGACAGGCCCUCGUCUACCCCACUAUGUCCAAGUUGUGCAGCACCCUCGGCUGAACCGUCACUGACGUCUUCCGCGUCGGCUUCGGUGCCAGUCGCAUUGCAGAAUGCCGCCGCGUCUCAUCGAGGCUUAGAGGCUGUGCCGAGGUCGGCCCUGUCCGCGCCACCCACCGAGCACUCGCAACUGCAGACGUCAGCGCCGCUCCCAUCAUUACCCCCGCUGCAGCUGACCGCGCAGGAAAUCUACGACACUCAGCGGAGCUCCAUCGCCGCCGCGGCUGCCGCCGAGCAGCGGCGCCUCCUCACACGUAUGCAGCAGCGCUGUCAGGUGCUCGAGGAGGAGAAGGCGCUGCUGACGGCGCGCCUUCGUGCGCUGAGGGCGCAGGAGUCCGCAGGCCGUCUGCGUGCGCUGCGAGAGGCCCAGGAAGAGGCCGCCGCGGUGGAGGUGGAUGCCGUGCGUGCUCGCCUCGGCCAGCAUCGUGAAGACUUGCUUAGCCACUGGCUGCGCGUGCUGCAGUUCCACAAGGACACGCAGUACGCCAUGCCGAGCGCGCUGUUGCGUGAGCUGGAGGCUGAGGGCGAGGCGCUCACCCUUCAUUGCCUAUCCUCCAUCGCCGGCUAUCACACCCAGAAGGCCCGCCUGCAGGCGCUGCAGCGGCAACGCGUGUUGAAGGAGGCGGAGGUGGCUCGGCUGCGGUGGGAGGCCCAAGUGCGCCAGUGCACGGCGGAGGAGCAGCGCGGCUGUCUGCGGGUGGUGGCGCGGCUGAGGCCACCAAGCGAGCGCUCCUGGCUUCCCGCGUCGGUGCUCGCGUCCGCUGAGGUGGGGGAGCUCGACGGCGGCUACGCCGUCCGCGUGUUGGAGGGCUCGCCGGAUGCUGCCCGCGGCCCCCAACAAAUCGUCGAGCCUGUCCCGUGUGUGGUGGAGGUGACCGACCCGCCGCGUGAUCUGCGUCGCCGUUACGCGCUCUGGGCGGCCUACAACGCCGCCAACGCAGGGUCGCAGCAGCGCCUCUUCGAGGACCAGCUGCAGCCGCUGCUGGAGCACAUGUGCUGCACCGGGCAGAACGUCGCCGUCUUGGCCUUCGGCGCGGUCGGCAGCGGCAAGACGUCUGCGCUGUUCGGCUCCCGCGCCGCACAGUUGCCACGGCAGCCCGUGAAGACAGCGCACAAGGGUGUGCUGCCGCCGCAACCCCACCGAGUCGGCGGUGAGCCCGCCAGCCCUGAGGUGUUCAGCGACUUUGACUUCAGCAGCAGCAGCAGCGGCCGAAGCCACAGCGAGGGCGACGACGUCGGCCGCAUGCCGAACGGCGUCACUACCGUGGGGGCGCCGGGGCGCCGAGGCAUUACCCGCUGCCUUGACCCCGCCGACGCGGCGAGGGAGGCUCAGGUGCUCGAGUCCUUGGCCGAGACCGAGGCUGCGAAGCGGCGGCAGCGCAGUGCGGAGCGGCACGCACGGCAAGAACGCGGCUGGCGUGAGCGGGCCGGGAUCGAAGAGGGGGAUGGGCUACUGCCGCGCGCGGUGGCGUGGCUGACAGCGCACCUGCGCAGCGACUCGCCGCACGGCAAGGCCAGUGGGCCAGUGGUAGAGUCCAUCGUCUUCUCCAUGUACGAGGUGUACAAUGAUCACGUGUACGACUUGCUGCCAACCCCUCCUCCGAGUGCUGCAGGCACCACUGAACUGGGCAGCAAGGCCUCGUGGGCGGCGUGGCCUCGAUGGAACGCCGGGUGGCUGCCCGCCCCGCACAUCAAGAACAGCAACCCGGAGAAUCUGACGGAGCUGCAGCUGGAGUUGCUGCCGCCCUCCACAGACGGGCGCGGCGCUGUCAGAGACGCGCCAGCCACCGUCUCGCACUUGCCGCCGCCGCAGCCAGCGCAGCCCCAGUGGCGCGUCAAGGCGAGCGAGAUGGAGGUGCGCUCAGCAACGGAGGCGCUGCAGGCGAUCCACCUCGGUCUCCACCGCCGCCGCUCCGCCGCCACGCUUCGGGGAUCGCAGUCGAGCCGCAGCCAUCUCUUCCUGCGCUUCCGAGUCAAGGUGCAGCGGCCCGUCAUGCCGGCGAAGUCGUCGAGCGUUGCGAUGCAGUGGGCAUCAGCCACUUCAGCAGCAUCCGCGCUGGAGGUGGCGGGCAUCGGCGCUCUGAUCGGCAACGCCGCAGCGUCUGCGGACGCCACGGGCGCUGCAGGCAAGCCAAAGGGCUACGACUUCUUGCGCGCCGCACUCGCGACACCUUCUGAAGGAGCAAUCAGCGUCAAGCCGGCAGCGCCAGCGUCAUCGCUGACCAGUGUCGCGGAGCUGCUCUUCACCGACUUUGCCGGCAGCGAGCGCAUCGAGCUCAGCGGUGUCACAGGCGACGCGCUGAAGGAGGCGCAGUACAUCCACUCGAGCCUGAGCGCCGUGUCAGAGGUGCUGACGGCGUUGGCGCGGGCCCAUCCCCGUCGUGAUCACCAGGGCGAGGCAGAAGCGGCGGCGAGGCGGCCGGGGAAGCAGCGCGGCGGUAACGGGACGCCAUCACUAGCGGCUGCCGCGCUGGUGCAGCGCUGGGGAGCGAUGGUGAACUGUCCAGGCGUCACGCUGUCGCGCAGCCCGCCGGUCUUCCUCCAGCCGCGCUUCACGAAACUCGGCGGCGGCCGCGACACCCGGCAGCGCGGCGGGCACGAGGGCGGCCUUGCACUGCGCAGGCGCGUGCUGGCGCUCAUGGACAAGCACGUAGCUGAGGAGGAAGGUGCGCAGUGGUGGCGGCGUUGGCGUGCUGUGCCGCCGCACGUGCCGUUCCGCACGUGCAAGACGACGCAGCUGCUGCAGUCGGCGCUGGGCGCGCCGUGCAAGUCGUUGGUGCUGGCGUGCGUGCAGCCGUGCAGCGUGUCGGAGGUGGUGCUGCCUGCGAGCCUGGGCGACCGCAAAGGCCCGCGCACGCGUGCGGCGGCGCAGUCGGUGUUCGCUCACCAGGCGCCGGUGAUGCUCUCCGAGGUGCACGCCACGCUAGCCUUUGCUGAACGCAUCCACGAAGCAUCGCAGGACGGCGGCAAGACCAAGCGAGCGUAGUGGCGCACAAGGGGGGAUGGCGUGUGUGGGUAAGGAUGCUGUGCAUCGAACUUCA
rnacentral:misc_RNA from 1 species